rnacentral:tRNA from 1 species
UAAUAAAACCCCAGACUGUGAAUCUGGAGACAGGGGAUUAAACCCCUUACUUACC